AAUCAACGCUGGCGGCGUGCCUCAGACAUGCAAGUCGAACGAUUAAAGCUCCCUUCGGGGAGUGCAUAAAGUGGCGCACGGGUGAGUAACACGUAAGUAAUCUACCCUCGAGUGGGGAAUAACGUCCGGAAACGGACGCUAAUACCGCAUAAUGCAGCAGCACCGCAAGGUGACAGUUGUUAAAGAUUUAUCGCUUGGGGAGGAGCUUGCGGCAGAUUAGCUAGUUGGUAAGGUAAUGGCUUACCAAGGCCGCCAUCUGUAACCGGUCUAAGAGGACGGUCGGUCACACUGACACUGAAUAACGGGUCAGACUCCUACGGGAGGAAGCAGUCGGGAAUUUUGGGCAAAGGGCGAAAGCCUGACCCAGCAACGCCGCGUGAAGGAUGAAGUAUUUCGGUAUGUAAACUUCGAAAGAAUGGGAAGAAUAAAUGACGGUACCAUUUAUAAGCUCCGGCUAACUACGUGCCAGCAGCCGCCGCUGUAA
rnacentral:rRNA from 1 species